GGAAGGUAGUCAUUUUUGAAUGGCAACACACACAGGAAAUCCACUUGAUAAAAGACGGCCACAAAACAGAAAAGCUGGGACAGAAGUACGUCACAGCCACCAUCACACUAGCCUGCCAGACCUCCGGAGUGAAAUUAUCAAGUAACUGUUGAUGCAUGACUUGGUUUCACAUUCCUGGAUUUGACAGGCCAGAAUGUCCACACACUUCCUCUGAAGACGUACCUGCUCUACUAUCUUAAGAGAUUGUGUGAAUUCAUGUGACCCCCAACUAGACACCUGAGCAGCCAGUUCUACCCACAG